AUUGAACGCUGGCGGCAGGCCUAACACAUGCAAGUCGAGCGGAGCGGCGGACGGGUGAGUAAUGCCUAGGAAUCUGCCUGGUAGUGGGGGAUAACGUCCGGAAACGGGCGCUAAUACCGCAUACUAUCAGAUGAGCCUAGGUCGGAUUAGCUAGUUGGUGGGGUAAAGGCCUACCAGGGCGACGAUCCGUAACUGGUCUGAGAGGAUGAUCAGUCACACUGAACCGGAGACAGGGUCCAACCUCCUACGGGGGGCGGCAGUGGGAAAUAUUGGACAAUGGGCGAAAGCCGGAUCCAGCCAUGCCGCGUGUGUGAAGAGGGUCUUCGGAUUUUAAGGCACGUUAAGUUGGGAGGCGUUACCGACAGAAUAAGCCACGGCUAACUUCGUGCCAGCAGCCGCGGUAAUAC
rnacentral:rRNA from 1 species